UCGUGCGAGAACGCUCCCUUCGGGGAGCUAGUAAAGCGGCGCACGGGUGAGUAACACGUGGGUAAUCUGCCCUUGAGUUUGGGAUAACCCGGGGAAACCCGGGCUAAUACCAAAUGCGCCCCAGGGGUCUUCGGACUCCUGGGAGAAAGAUGGCCUCUGCUUGCAAGCUAUCGCUCAUGGAUGAGCCCGCGUCCCAUUAGCUUGUUGGUGAGGUAACGGCUCACCAAGGCUCAGAUGGGUAGCUGAUCUGAGAGGAUGAUCAGCCACACUGGAACUGAGACACGGUCCAGACUCCUACGGGAGGCAGCAGUGGGGAAUUUUGGGCAAUGGGCGCAAGCCUGACCCAGCAACGCCGCGUGAGGGAUGAAGGUUUUCGGAUCGUAAACCUCUGUCAGGAGGGAAGAGCAGUCCCAUGGCCAAUACCCAUGGGACCCGACGGUACCUCCAAAGGAAGCGCCGGCUAACUCCGUGCCAGCAGCCGCGGUAAUACGGAGGGCGCAAGCGUUGUUCGGAAUUACUGGGCGUAAAGCGCGUGUAGGCGGUUUGGAAAGUCGGGUGUGAAAUCCCCGGGCCUAAC
rnacentral:rRNA from 1 species